CACGGCGCACGGGUGCGUAACACGUGGGCAAUCUGCCCUCGGAUGGGGGAUACCCCCGCGAAAGCGGGACUAAUACCGCAUGACAUUCCGAAGACCUCGGUCUUUGGAUUCAAAGCCCGCAAGGGCGUCUGAGGAGGAGCCCGCGCCCGAUUAGCUAGUUGGUGAGGUAACGGCUCACCAAGGCUAUGAUCGGUAGCCGGUCUGAGAGGAUGGCCGGCCACACUGGAACUGAGACACGGUCCAGACUCCUACGGGAGGCAGCAGUGGGGAAUAUUGCGCAAUGGGCGAAAGCCUGACGCAGCGACGCCGCGUGGGGGAUGAAGCUUCUCGGAGUGUAAACCCCUUUCGACCCGGAAGAAUGACCCGCAAGGGUUUGACGGUACGGGUAUAAGAAGCCCCGGCUAACUACGUGCCAGCAGCCGCGGUAAUACGUAGGGGGCCAGCGUUGCUCGGAAUUACUGGGCGUAAAGGGUUCGUAGGUGGUGCGGCAAGUUGGGAGUGAAAUCUCUGGGCUUAACUCAGAGGCUGCUUUCAAAACUGCCGUGCUCGAGUGCGAGAGAGGUCAGUGGAAUUGCAGGUGUAGCGGUGAAAUGCGUAGAUAUCUGCAGGAACACCCGUGGCGAAGGCGGCUGACUGGAUCGCAAC
rnacentral:rRNA from 1 species